UACGAAGGGGGCUAGCGUUGUUCGGAGUUACUGGGCGUAAAGGGCGCGUAGGCGGCCAAUUAAGUCAGGUGUGAAAGCCCUGGGCUCAACCCGGGAAUUGCGCUUGAGACUGGUUGGCUUGAGGACGGGAGAGGAUAGUGGAAUUCCCAGUGUAGAGGUGAAAUUCGUAGAUAUUGGGAAGAACACCAGUGGCGAAGGCGGCUAUCUGGACCGUAUCUGACGCUGAGGCGCGAAAGCGUGGGGAGCAAACAGG
rnacentral:rRNA from 1 species